UACGUAUGUCCCGAGCGUUAUCCGGAUUUAUUGGGCGUAAAGCGAGCGCAGACGGUUCGAUAAGUCUGAAGUGAAAGCCCACAGCUCAACUGUGGAAUGGCUUUGGAAACUGUCGAACUUGAGUGCAGUAGAGGUAAGUGGAACUCCAUGUGUAGCGGUGGAAUGCGUAGAUAUAUGGAAGAACACCAGUGGCGAAGGCGGCUUACUGGACUGCAACUGACGUUGAGGCUCGAAAGUGUGGGUAGCAAACAGG
rnacentral:rRNA from 1 species